AUAGACUCGUUGUUUGGUCUGAUGGUGGUUCCGUCUCAAAAUCGGCUGGACGAGCACAGUGUUCCAUGGCUCCAUGGCUGGCUGUUCUGUGACCGUAGGCAGAUUCCUUAACCACCCAAUGCCUCCAUUUUUUCCUCUGUUACAUCCAAGCCUUUCCUUUUGCCACCUUCUCUUUCUGCUGUAGGCCUGGGUUGCCAACUAUGAGAGACCCCGAAUGAACGCCAACUCCCUCCUGGCCAGCCCCACAGGCCUCAGCCCCUACCUGCGCUUUGGUUGUCUCUCCUGCCGCCUCUUCUACUACCGCCUGUGGGACCUGUAUAAAAAGGUGAAGCGGAACAGCACACCUCCCCUCUCCCUAUUUGGGCAACUCCUGUGGCGAGAGUUCUUCUACACGGCAGCUACCAACAACCCCAGGUUUGACCGCAUGGAGGGGAACCCCAUCUGCAUCCAGAUCCCCUGGGACCGCAAUCCUGAGGCCCUGGCCAAGUGGGCUGAGGGCAAGACAGGCUUCCCUUGGAUUGAUGCCAUCAUGACCCAACUGAG
rnacentral:sRNA from 1 species